CAGUCAAGAACAAACUCGAAAAUUCAUCAACUUUUCAUUCCCAAAAUUCAUCAAACAUUCCCAAACAUCUAAAAAAAAAAAUACUAUCACUCAACAUCAUAGCCAACUCAAAAACUCAUUUAAACACUACUUUCAUCAACAUCACGUUAAUCAUUUCAUAUAUUCAUGCUCAUCAUCAAAUCGUCGUUCAAAACAUAACCU
rnacentral:lncRNA from 1 species